rnacentral:ncRNA from 1 species
AGACUAACUAUUUGAGAGAUUAGUACUUUUCAUUCGGUGACUUUUAGAAAGUUGGCGGUCGAUGCAAGCCAACAGUCACCCAAAAGGAAUCCACUCUCUAGCAAUGCAUAACGAAAAUUUGUUUAGCAAAUCAAAAGUUAUGACGGUUUGACCCGUUAACAAUCUAACGAAGAUACACGCUAUUGUGUAAAUUUGGGUGGCACCGCGACGUUCAACCUCUCGCCCCAUAA